CACUCAUCAAUCAACUCCCUCAAAUCUCUCAUCAAUCUAUCCUUUGCCUUUACACGACACCCAAUCAGAAAAACAAGAAAAUAUCUCACUCUUUCUCUUUUCCUUUUCUCUCUCUACAGAAGCUCUUUUCCUCUGCAACUGCUAUGAACAAGCCCAAAGCUCAUAGAUCGAGCUUAAAAACCUCAACAUUACGUUCAUCUCAUCUUCACGAACUCAACCAUACCAACCAACCUUAGUUUGACAUAGUUUUGGACGUCGAACUCGGAAUGUCCGAACUCAAUGAGUUUGAGUUCAUCAAUUUUCAGGCCAAGUUAAGGAAUUUUGAAGGUCGAGGAAGCUUUCCCACAACUUCCUGAGACCUCUAGGACAAUUUUGAAGGAGCUUGGAUGUCGAAACAACUGAGUUUUGAUGAGUUCACUUUUGGCCGGAACUUUCGAGGUGAUUUUCGACCACCUCUGUCCACUUUUUGGACUCCAAAGAGCAAACCGGUGAGAUUCGGGUUGCAGACGGCAGUGCUGGCGGUGGAGGACGGGAACAGACGACAGAGCUCACCAGAGAAGACAGGGAAUAUUCCAUCAAAAUCGAUGGAAUAUUCUAACGGCGUUAGUUGCGUUAGGUAACGCCGUUAAUCUCUGUUAAGCUUUUAACGGAAUAUUCCUAACGGCGUCAGUCAUAUUGACGGCAUGUGCCUGCGCGUGGGGGCUCAUCUAGCCGUGCCUUGGCUGGUGCGUGUGGGGUCCAAAAAUUUAUCUGAAAAUUUGUGUAGGUCUGUGACGUCGAAUAAAUCGAUUUAAUGUAUUUAAACCCUAGGUUUGAGCAAACUAUAGGGGUUUUAUUUAAGUUUCCGUAUAUGUGCUUUAAUUAAUUCUAUUAGAGUUAUUUCACAUAUAGGGGAAAUGUAUCCCAAGGACUUACGGGGUCAAGCUAGGCUCGGGGGCUACGACUCGGCAACGUACUUAUGAGUGGGCAGUUUAUUUUAUACCUACACAUAUUUUUAGUUUUCCUAAAUGCGUAGUUACUUCACUUUUACGCUUAUAAUGCCAAGUAUUCAUUAUUGUGAUAUAAAUUGUGAUAAAUGCUGCUAUAUGGUUGAGAUAUUAUUGUCAUGACAUUCAUACAUAUUUGUACAUGCUCAUCUGCUCCACCUCGGUGUUACCAGGGCUAGGGCCAAUCCUUCACGUGUAUGUUCACAUCUGCACCAUUCGCUCGCCUUGGAUCCAAGUUAGGUUUCAGUCAUGUCGUACAUAUUGCAUUAGGCAAUUUCGACUCCUAUGUGAUCGCGCCUCGACACCAGUCUUCACAUGAUCGUAGUACUAGAACGUAUUGAUUACAACCAGUCCUGUUUUACAGGUUGCAUUAUGAAACUCCGACUUGUGUGCUAGCGUAAAUUGAUGAGCCAUUGAUUAUAUUUGUUUAUCACAUGAUUAUAUUACCAUGGCAUUUGAUAUAUCAUGACUUGGCAUAGUUCUGGUUAUAAAUGUUGUUGUAUUAUUGUUUACAUACUUAUGUAGUAUGCUUUAAGGAAACUAUACUUGUUUUAUGAUGAGGGGUUAGUAUGUUCAAAAAUAAAGAUUUUCGUACGACCGUUGUUUUGCUGACCCACUCAACUUUGUUUUUCGCCCCUCCAGGAUCUAGAUAGCUGAUUUCUUCGUGGCACUCGAGGAACCUUUGGUAGUUCUAACAUAUCUUCGGUUUAGACGUACGAACCUAUCACUGUUGUGUAAUAAGUGUACUUUAGCUGCUUUGACUACUCUUUGGUAGUCGUACUGUCUUUUAAGCUCUGAAUAAUUGUAGUGGGUUAUUCCCAUGAUUGCGCACUCUUUCACUGAUUAGUAUAAUUAGUUCAAAUUAGUUUUAAAUUUAUUCACUUUUUCACAUCACUUUCCCUUAUGGUUACGUUACCUCACAGUGAUGGCCAUCACGCUUCGACCUUCCUAGGUCGGGGUGUGUCAAUAUGAAAAAUGUUAGGAAGAUUAAAUUUUUGUAUGGUAUUAGCGUACCAUUUGAUAUAAUAAGGGAUAUUUACGUGUUGUGCCAAGUAAUACGUUUUUCUCAUUAGAUGUUGGUUAGAUAUGCAUCAUUUACAUUAACGUCAUCAAAAAUUUUUAUCAAAGUUUUGUAAUGUAUGUUUCAAUUUAUUAUGAGCUAUUACAUGUAAUUAUUUGUAAUUUAUUAUGGGAGUAUUAUUUGUCGUGAUCUUAUCCAUUGGAGUUAGUUUUGUAAAAUUUGGCAUAGAUAUUUGUCGUAAAAUUAUUAUGAGAGUAUUAUUUGUCGUGUUCUUUUUCACUGGAGUUAGUUUUGUAAAAUUUGGCAUAUAUAUUUGUCGGAAAACGAAUUUUGUUGAUGAUUA